rnacentral:lncRNA from 1 species
GGGGUAUGAUAUAUUCUAGAAUAAGGUGGGACUUUUUUGGAUAAAUCAUUUUUCCCAUGUCCAGGACAGACCAUUUUUGACCCUGACCUGCUAGACUGCCUAAACCCAGAUUAGAUGGAUGGGUUUGGGUAAGGUUUUCUUUUUAUAAUUGGACUUGGAUGGAUAGCAAAGACCAACCUGAUUACAAAUGAGUCAUAUAUGGGUUUGGCUCUUCUAACCC